UGCGUAGGCGGAAUAUUAAGUCAGUGGUGAAAUCCUGCGGCUCAACCGUAGAACUGCCAUUGAUACUGUUAUUCUUGAAUGUAGUUGAGGUAGGCGGAAUGUGUAAUGUAGCGGUGAAAUGCUUAGAUAUUACACAGAACACCGAUUGCGAAAGCAGCUUACUAAACUAUGAUUGACGCUGAUGCACGAAAGCGUGGGGAGCGAACAGGAUUAGAUACCCUGGUAGUCC
rnacentral:rRNA from 1 species